GGAAAGGGGGGGGCGUCGGAGGGGGUGAGACGAAGGGGGCGAGCGUUGGUCGGAGUUGCUGGGGGUAAAGGGGGCGUGGGGGGGGAUCUGUGUCAGGGGUGAAAUCCCGAGGGUCAGCAUCGGAAGUGCCUGUGAAACGGGAGCGGUUGAGUCCGAGAGAGGAUGGCGGAAUUCCUAGUGUAGAGGUGAAAUUCGUAGAUAUUAGGAAGACCACCGGUGGCGAAGGCGGCCAUCUGGCUCGGUACUGACGCUCAGGCGCGAAAGCGUGGGGAGCAAACAGGAUUAGAUACCCCAGUAGUC
rnacentral:rRNA from 1 species